UCUCCGUAGGUGAACCUGCGGAGGGAUCACUACAGGCUUGUAAAAGCCCUGAAACUACUGUUUAUCUACCUGAAUCUGCUUCGGCGGGGGGCCCCAGGGCGGGGUCGUAGCGGCAAUGCGCGCGCCGAAGACCCCUAAGCACUGUCGUCUUGAGAGUAGCCGGGUAAUUAUAUGAAACAACAACAACUUGUCGCAACGGAUCUUUUGGCUCUGACAUCGAUGAAGAACGCGC
rnacentral:misc_RNA from 1 species